rnacentral:rRNA from 1 species
UACGUAGGAUGCAAGCGUUGUCCGGAUUUACUGGGCGUAAAGCGCGCGCAGGCGGCACUCUAAGUACGCUGUGAAAUAUCCCGGCUCAACCGGGAGGGUGCAGUGUAGACUAGGGAGCUAGAGGCCGGUAGAGGGGGGUGGAAUUGCUGGUGUAGCGGUGAAAUGCGUAGAGAUCAGCAGGAACACCCGUGGCGAAGGCGGCCCCCUGGGCCGUACCUGACGCUGAGGCGCGAAGGCUAGGGGAGCGAACGGG